rnacentral:rRNA from 1 species
GACGAACGCUGGCGGCGUGCCUAACACAUGCAAGUCGAGCGGGGUCCAUCCAGUGGCAACACUGGGGAAGACCUAGCGGCGAACGGGUGAGUAACACGUGAGAAACCUGCCCUGAAGUCUGGGAUAACCCGAGGAAACUCGAGCUAAUACCGGAUGCCCCCACCGAGUCGCAUGGCUGUGAGGAAAGAUUCAUCGCUUCAGGAGGGUCUCGCGGCCUAUCAGCUAGUUGGCGGGGUAACGCCACCAAGGCAUCGACGGGUAGCUGGUCUGAGAGGACGAUCAGCCACACUGGGACUGAGACA